UUCUUCAUUUUGAUGAUUCAGGAUAAAAAGAACUCAAAAAAAUGGAAAAGUGUGCAUUUAAAACUCUGUAUAUGGCAGUUAACAAAAAAAGAGAAAAAAAGAUUACAGCCAAGACAACAAACCACUUGGUAUGAGCUAUCUUAUUUUUCGGAGUCAUUCAUCAGUACCAGUCAUGAUCACGCUUCAGCUGAGACUUCAAUCUAUAUUGUUGUUUAUAUUCAUGAGAAUAAAGAUCCCCUUCCACAUUUUUCUUCCUACUUGUUUUUUGAGAGCUUUUCUACUUUAUUACAAAGAGAAGAAGCCUUUAUGU
rnacentral:lncRNA from 1 species